rnacentral:rRNA from 1 species
CAGUAGCCGCGGGAAUACGUAGGUCCCGAGCGUUGUCCGGAGUUAUUGGGCGUAAAGCGAGCGCAGGCGGUUAGAUAAGUCUGAAGUUAAAGGCUGUGGCUUAACCAUAGUAUGCUUUGGAAACUGUUUAACUUGAGUGCAGGAGGGGAGAGUGGAAUUCCAUGUGUAGCGGUGAAAUGCGUAGAUAUAUGGAGGAACACCUGUGGCGAAGGCGGCUUCCUGGACAAGUCCUGACUCUGAAACACGAAAGCCAGGGGAGCGAAUGGGAUUAGAUACCCCCGUAGUCCCUGUCUCUUAUACA